rnacentral:rRNA from 1 species
UACGUAGGUGGCAAGCGUUAUCCGGAAUCAUUGGGCGUAAAGCGCGUGUAGGCGGCUCGGUAAGUCCGCUGUGAAAGUCGGGGGCUCAACCCUCGAAUGCCGGUGGAUACUGUCGGGCUAGAGUGCGGAAGAGGCGAGUGGAAUUCCUGGUGUAGCGGUGAAAUGCGCAGAUAUCAGGAGGAACACCAAUUGCGAAGGCAGCUCGCUGGGACGUAACUGACGCUGAGACGCGAAAGCGUGGGGAGCAAACAGG